rnacentral:rRNA from 1 species
AGAGCGAACGCUGGCGGCAGGCUUAACACAUGCAAGUCGAGCGGGCGUAGCAAUACGUCAGCGGCAGACGGGUGAGUAACGCGUGGGAACGUACCUUUUGGUUCGGAACAACCCAGGGAAACUUGGGCUAAUACCGGAUAAGCCCUUACGGGGAAAGAUUUAUCGCCGAAAGAUCGGCCCGCGUCUGAUUAGCUAGUUGGUGAGGUAAUGGCUCACCAAGGCGACGAUCAGUAGCUGGUCUGAGAGGAUGAUCAGCCACAUUGGGACUGAGACACGGCCCAAACUCCUACGGGAGGCAGCAGUGGGGAAUAUUGGACAAUGGGCGCAAGCCUGAUCCAGCCAUGCCGCGUGAGUGAUGAAGGCCCUAGGGUUGUAAAGCUCUUUUGUGCGGGAAGAUAAUGACGGUACCGCAAGAAUAACGCCCGGCUAACUUCGCGACCAGCAGCCGC